rnacentral:rRNA from 1 species
GUGGGGAAUCUUGCGCAAUGGGCGAAAGCCUGACGCAGCCAUGCCGCGUGAAUGAUGAAGGUCUUAGGAUUGUAAAAUUCUUUCACCGGGGACGAUAAUGACGGUACCCGGAGAAGAAGCCCCGGCUAACUUCGUGCCAGCAGCCGCGGUAAUACGAAGGGGGCUAGCGUUGCUCGGAAUUACUGGGCGUAAAGGGCGCGUAGGCGGACAGUUUAGUCAGAGGUGAAAGCCCAGGGCUCAACCGUGGAAUUGCCUUUGAUACUGGCUGUCUUGAGUACGGGAGAGGGGAGUGGAACUCCGAGUGUAGAGGUGAAAUUCGUAGAUAUUCGGAAGAACACCAGUGGCGAAGGCGACUCACUGGACCGUUGUUGACGCUGAGGUGCGAAAGCGUGGGGAGCAAACAGGAUUAGAAACCCUAGUAGUCC